CGUUGGCGGCAGGCCUACACAUGCAAGUCGAACGAGAAAGUACCUUCGGGUGCGAGUAAAGUGGCGGACGGGUGAGUAACGCGUAGGAAUAUACCUAGUAGUGGGGGACAACUCGGGGAAACUCGAGCUAAUACCGCAUACGCUCUACGGAGGAAAGUGGGGGAUCUUCGGACCUCACGCUAUUAGAGUAGCCUGCGUUGGAUUAGCUAGUUGGUGGGGUAAAGGCUCACCAAGGCGACGAUCCAUAGCUGGUCUGAGAGGACGAUCAGCCACACUGGAACUGAGACACGGUCCAGACUCCUACGGGAGGCAGCAGUGGGGAAUAUUGGGCAAUGGGCGCAAGCCUGACCCAGCCAUGCCGCGUGUGUGAAGAAGGCCUUAGGGUUGUAAAGCACUUUCAGCAGCGAAGAAACGCUGGAGAUUAAUACUCUCCAGUUUUGACGUUAACUGCAGAAGAAGUACCGGCUAACUCCGUGCCAGCAGCCGCGGUAAUACGGAGGGUACAAACGUUAAUCGGAAUUACUGGGCGUAAAGCGCGCGUAGGCGGUUCGUUAAGUGGGAUGUGAAAGCCCUGGGCUCAACCCAGGAACUGCAUUCCAAACUGACGAACUAGAGUAUGGUAGAGGGAGGUAGAAUUUCCUGUGUAGCGGUGAAAUGCGUAGAUAUAGGAAGGAAUACCGGUGGCGAAGGCGGCCUCCUGGACCAAUACUGACGCUGAGGUGCGAAAG
rnacentral:rRNA from 1 species